AUGUAAAAUGACUCUCGGCAACGGAUAUCUCGGCUCUUGCAUCGAUGAAGAACGUAGCGAAAUGCGAUACUUGGUGUGAAUUGCAGAAUCCCGUGAACCAUCGAGUCUUUGAACGCAAGUUGCGCCCAAAGCCAUUAGGCCUAGGGCACGCCUGCCUGGGUGUCACAC
rnacentral:rRNA from 1 species